rnacentral:rRNA from 1 species
AGUACGUCACGAGUAGUUUUUAACUCUAGAUGGCGGACGGGUGAGUAACACGUGAGAAUUUGCCUUUAGGAGGGGGAUAACAAUUGGAAACGAAUGCUAAUACCCCAUAUGCUUUCGAGUGAAAUGGAUUUAUAUUUUAUCCGCCUAGAGAGAAGCUCGCGGCUGAUUAGCUUGUUGGUAAGGUAAGAGCUUACCAUGGCGACGAUCAGUAUCUGGUUUGAGAGGACGAUCAGACACACUGGAACUGAGACACGGUCCAGACUCCUACGGGAGGCAGCAGUGGGAAUUUUCCGCAAUGGGCGAAAGCCUGACGGAGCAAUACCGCGUGAGGGAAGACUGCCUAUGGGUUGUAAACCUCUUUCAGGGAGGAAUCAAUGACGUGUUCCUGAAGAAUAAGCAUCGGCUAACUCCGUGCCAGCAGCCGCGGUAAGACGGAGGAUGCAAGUGUUAUCCGGAAUCACUGGGCGUAAAGCGUCUGUAGGUGGUUUAAUAAGUCAACUGUUAGGUCUUGAGGCUCAACUUCAAAAUCCCAGUCGAAACUAUUAGACUAGAGUAUAGUAGAGGUAAAGGGAAUUUCCAGUGGAGCGGUGAAAUGCGUAGAUAUUGGAGAGAACACCGAUGGCGAAAGCACUUUACUGGGCUAUUACUAACACUCAGGGACGAAAGCUAGGGUAGCAAAUGGGA